AUUGAACGCUGGCGGCAGGCUUAACACAUGCAAGUCGAACGAGUGGCGGACGGGUGAGUAAUGCUUGGGAAUCUAGCUUAUGGAGGGGGAUAACUACGGGAAACUGUAGCUAAUACCGCGUACCAUAGGAUGAGCCCAAGUGGGAUUAGGUAGUUGGUGAGGGAAAGGCUCACCAAGACGACGAUCCCUAGCUGGUCUGAGAGGAUGACCAGCCACACUGGGACUGAGAAACGGCCCAGACUCCUACGGGAGGCAGCAGGGGGGAAUAUUGCGCAAUGGGGGAAAGCCUGAUGCAGCCAUGCCGCGUGUAUGAAGAAGGCCUUCGGGUUGGAAAGUACUUUCAGUCGGGAGGCGUUACCGACAGAAGAAGCACCGGCUAACUCCGUGCCAGCAGACGCGGUAAUAC
rnacentral:rRNA from 1 species